rnacentral:rRNA from 1 species
CCUACGGGAGGCUGCAGUGGGGAAUAUUGGACAAUGGGCGAAAGCCUGAUCCAGCCAUGCCGCGUGUGUGAAGAAGGCCUUCGGGUUGUAAAGCACUUUCAGUGGGGAAGAAAGCCUUGGGGCUAAUACCCUCGAGGAAGGACAUCACCCACAGAAGAAGCACCGGCUAACUCCGUGCCAGCAGCCGCGGUAAUACGGAGGGUGCGAGCGUUAAUCGGAAUUACUGGGCGUAAAGCGCGCGUAGGCGGUCUGAUAAGCCGGUUGUGAAAGCCCCGGGCUCAACCUGGGAACGGCAUCCGGAACUGUCAGGCUAGAGUGCAGGAGAGGAAGGUAGAAUUCCCGGUGUAGCGGUGAAAUGCGUAGAGAUCGGGAGGAAUACCAGCGGCGAAGGCGGCCUUCUGGACUGACACUGACGCUGAGGUGCGAAAGCGUGGGUAGCAAACAGGAUUAGAUACCCCGGUAGUC